CGUGCACGCCCGAGUGUGUCGCCUCACAUAAUAAUCCAUCUCACCCUUUGUGCAUCACCGCGUGGGCACCCCUUUGGGAUCAUCUCGGAGGGGGCUCGCGUUUUCACACAAAACCCCCCUUUUAAAAGUGUAGAAUGACCUCAUUUAUGCGCUAACCCGCAAUCAAUACAACUUUCAACAACGGAUCUCUUGGCUCUCGCAUCGAUGAAGAACGCAGCGAAAUGCGAUACGUAAUGUGAAUUGCAGAAUUCAGUGAAUCAUCGAAUCUUUGAACGCACCUUGCGCCCCCUGGUAUUCCGAGGGGCACACCCGUUUGAGUGUCGUGAAAACCUCAACCUCCUUGGUUUCUUCUGGAGACCAAAGCAGGCUUGGACUUUGGAGGCCUUUGCUGGCACCUCUCGCCAGCUCCUCUUAAAUGAAUUAGCAGGGUCCUCUUUGCUGAUCCUCGACGUGUGAUAAGAUGUUUCCAUGUCUUGGUUUCUGGCUCUGUCACCUUUGGGACCCGCUUCUAACCGUCUUCAACCUUGCGUUGAGACAACGUUCGAGCAUGUCUCCCUUCUCGGGAAGCUCCCUCGACCCCACGAACCCUUGACCUCAAAUCGGGUGAGACUACCCGCUGAACUUAAGCAU
rnacentral:misc_RNA from 1 species